rnacentral:rRNA from 1 species
UACGUAGGGUGCAAGCGUUAAUCGGAAUUACUGGGCGUAAAGCGAGCGCAGGCGGUUUGUUAAGUCAGAUGUGAAAGCCCCGAGCUCAACUUGGGAAUUGCGUUUGAAACUGGCAGGCUAGAGUGUGUCAGAGGGGGGUAGAAUUCCAUGUGUAGCGGUGAAAUGCGUAGAGAUGUGGAGGAAUACCGGUGGCGAAGGCGGCCCCCUGGACAAAGACUGACGCUCAGGUGCGAAAGCGUGGGGAGCAAACAGG